AAUAAAUCCACUGAUAAAAGAUGUUGAAAAGAGAGGAAAAGAGGUAUUGUUAAAUUGAAUUCAUAUGUCUUGCAUGUGAUCUUAAAUUUGGCAGCGCAAUCUGGCUUAUGUUACCCUGGUGUUGGCUGAAAUCUUUCAGAAAGGAUGAUGUGUUCUCUGGUUAAAGAAUUACUCAUUCAUGUGCGUGUUUGUUGCUAAUAUUUGAUGCGGCUCCUAUCUCCAUACAAGACUUGAGUUGGCACUACAGUGGGAGUGGGUGCUGUUCGAUUAUGCUAUCGCAUACCAGUGGGCUCAUUUCUUCUGGUAAACGGAAGAUUCUGUACUGAAUUUGAUGCUCUGAAAAGCUUUCCUUUUAAUCUUCCCACCCACCCACCCACUCCCAGGUGAGCUUGCAUGAAUGAUUUGCUGAGUUUUCUUGUUCUUACAUUGCCAGCAAACUUGCUUACUGGCUGGUGAACUUGUAUGUGGAUGCUCUGUUUACCCCAUCACUCUCAGCCCUACUUUCUUGCUUAUGCUUAUUGUGUAUCUAAUCAUAACUGGCAUUGCUGAUUUUUAUAGUGUUAAAUUGAAAAUUUUGGUAGAGCGGCUUUGGUUUCUGUAUAGAAACGACAUUUUGGUUUAA